UACGUAGGGUGCAAGCGUUGUCCGGAAUUAUUGGGCGUAAAGAGCUCGUAGGCGGUUUGUCGCGUCUGCUGUGAAAACUCGGGGCUUAACUCCGGGCCUGCAGUGGGUACGGGCAGACUAGAGUGCGGUAGGGGAGACUGGAAUUCCUGGUGUAGCGGUGAAAUGCGCAGAUAUCAGGAGGAACACCGGUGGCGAAGGCGGGUCUCUGGGCCGAUACUGACGCUGAUGCGCGAAAGCCAGGGGAGCAAACGGG
rnacentral:rRNA from 1 species